CUGUGUGCUGCUUGUUGGCCUGUUUGGAAUUUCAGCCUGGAGGCCACUGUGGAAGGUUUCAUCCAAACUAUUCUCAAAGGUUAAAAGAUUUUAAACUUCAGUCCUUUCAUCACUUACUUGUUUUUCAGGCCAUUGAAAGCCUGGUAGAGGGUCACGUCAUUCCAUUCGAUGGUGGUGAUCUCGUUGUUGCGCAUCCCGGCGAAGGCGUAGAUCAGGUGAAAGGACGGAGGGCCAUGCUGAGUUUCCAAAUGAUGAAGAAACGAAAAAGGAACAAUAUGGGGGUCCCUGCCAAGAAGCAUACAUACCUAUCUCGGCUGUCAGCACAAGGAGCAGACCUUAAAGCAACAGAGAGAACAAUGAGCUGGAGGAACACGUCUGCGGACACAGCAGCCUUUCCACACGGUGCUUCACGCACAGUAGCAUGUUCCCUACGCUUCACUCUUCGAGUCCCUUUAACACCUCUGUACCCUCCAACCUUCUGAGGCCGAUAAAGUCCUAAGGUUUCUCCUAGAAGCCCACUCCCCUCUACUCCCACUCACAAGACCACUAAAGGGCCAUGAGCCUUGAGGCUUGGGGAAGGGAGGGGACCGCCGAGCAGUGGGAGACCUAUCACCAGGAAAGGAACAGUGUCCCUGUGCUUUCCCCAAAGCGAUCAUCUCUGGCGAUUGGGUUGAGUUCAAAGGUUUUAAAGGGGCAGAAAAGCAGGAGGGAGAGAGUGGCUCAAGGGCACAGAGUGGCGGUGGUUCCUUACCAGUGAGGAGGGUGAGCUUGGCCAUCUUGCCUCAGGGGUAGAAACUCCCUUGUUCAACCUGCCUUUUAUACCCCCCUCCUGUGACUUAUCAGUUUCUCAUUUGUCGUAAUUGCCUCCAAAGUCAAUGUUGGUAUUGGUAGUGCUCAUAAACCUCAAACCCGUUUAAGAACCCAUUAUUGACAGGGAAACCAUAUUAUCUUGAUUUUACUCUAUAAGAAGAAAGGAUUGGGCUCAAGCCCAGACACCAUACUAAUAAGCUCCAUUACGGAAUAGCUUACAUAAUUCAAAAUGGUUUUGUACAGUGGGCUACACUCUCUGUGUGGAGAGCGCUAAGAGGCUAUUUCACCCUCAUCUAUUGGUAGCAGAUGGUUUCCGCGGUCCUUUCCAGAAACAGGUUAACAUGCUCUCACUCUAUCUCUUUCCCCUGAUGCUAGAAUAUCUCACAGCCUUUUUAAAAAAUAGAAUAAAUGUCCAGAUACUCAAAUUUCCUAUGUACAGUUGUCUAGAAUGCAUUUGCCAGACUAGUCUGCACUCUGAAGAUGUUCCUUCCUUGUUUCCCUUUUCACAACUGUUAUUCUCCUCCAAACAGGAGAAGCAGGAUUUGAAAUGUGAGUCAAGGAGUGUAGAUUUAGCUCUUUCCCUCCAAUGAGGCAGCCAAUCGACAGAUGCAGAUCUUUGUGAAACACUGAUGGGCAAGAUCAUCGCCCUUGAGGUUGAACCCAGUGCCACCAUUGGGAAUGUUAACGCCCAGUUUCAAGACAAGGAGGGCACCCUGCCCAGCCAGCAGCAUCUGAUUCUUGUGAGUGAACAGCUAGAGGAUGGCCACACUCAGACUUUACCAUCCAGAAAAAAUUCACCCUGAACCUGGUGCUUUGCCUGCUAAGUGACAUUAGUGAGCCUUCCCUCCUCCAGCUCAUUCAGAAAUGCAACUUCCACAAAAAUGAUCUGUCCCAAGUGUUUCCCUUGCCUGCACGUCUGCGCCAUUAAAUGUUACAAUCCACCACCAACCUCCACCCUAAGAAGAAGGUCAAAUGCAUGCCCUCCAGCCCUGCAGGGUGGCCUCCUGCAUAAGCCCCAUGGGUGUGAGGUCUCAGUAAAGGUUCCCUUUAGUUAGUUGACUGGAGUAGUAAAAAAAAAAAAAA